rnacentral:rRNA from 1 species
GACGAACGCUGGCGGCGUGCUUAACACAUGCAAGUCGAACGGUGAAGCUCCAGCUUGCUGGAGUGGAUCAGUGGCGAACGGGUGAGUAACACGUGAGCAACCUGCCCCUGACUCUGGAAUAAGCGCUGGAAACGGCGUCUAAUACUGGAUACGAGAAGGGUCCGCAUGGGCACUUUCUGGAAAGUUUUUCGGUUGGGGAUGGGCUCGCGGCCUAUCAGCUUGUUGGUGAGGUAAUGGCUCACCAAGGCGACGACGGGUAGCCGGCCUGAGAGGGCGACCGGCCACACUGGGACUGAGACACUGCCCAGACUCCUACGGGAGGCAGCAGUGGGGAAUAUUGCACAAUGGGCGAAAGCCUGAUGCAGCGACGCCGCGUGAGGGAUGACGGCCUUCGGGUUGUAAACCUCUUUCAGCAGGGAAGAAGCGAAAGUGACGGUACCUGCAGAAGAAGCACCGGCUAACUACGUG